rnacentral:misc_RNA from 1 species
UCGCUAGUAAUCGCGGAUCAGCAUGCCGCGGUGAAUACGUUCCCGGGUCUUGUACACACCGCCCGUCACACCACGAGAGUUUGCAACACCCGAAGUCGGUGGGGUAACCCUUACGGGAGCCAGCCGCCGAAGGUGGGGCAGAUGAUUGGGGUGAAGUCGUAACAAGGUAGCCGUAUCGGAAGGUGCGGCUGGAUCACCUCCUUUCUAAGGAUUUUAACGGAAUGCAGGUUUUGACCUGUACCAUCAGCGUUUUGCGUUCAGUUUUGAAGGUUCAUGGAAAAGCGGAAAACACCGGUUGGCUCAACCGGCUGCUGGAGGACUCGAGUAGAAAUGCUUGCAUUUCGACCGAGAGGCCGAAGCAGACGCGUGAGCUGGUGUUUGGAGCUGGACAUAAUUGGACUUUCAAUGCUUGUUCUUUGAAAACCGGAUAAAACGACAUUGUACCAAGUAUUAACCGAUUUUGAUCGAYUUGUCGAUCAAGUCUUUUCAUGUCCGCAUUUCAGGGAUUCGCCCCUGUGUGCGGAAAGCCGCUGAGACCGUUGGUCUUUAGAGGUGAAGUUAGGAAGGGCGCACGGUGGAUGCCUUGGCACUAGCGAGCCGAUGAAGGACGGGACUA